rnacentral:rRNA from 1 species
AUUGAACGCUGGCGGCAGGCCUAACACAUGCAAGUCGAACGGUAGCACAGAGGAGCUUGCUCCUUGGGCGACGAGUGGCGGACGGGUGAGUAAUGUCUGGGAAACUGCCCGAUGGAGGGGGAUAACUACUGGAAACGGUAGCUAAUACCGCAUAACGUCUUCGGACCAAAGUGGGGGACCUUCGGGCCUCACACCAUCGGAUGUGCCCAGAUGGGAUUAGCUAGUAGGUGGGGUAAGGGCUCACCUAGGCGACGAUCCCUAGCUGGUCUGAGAGGAUGACCAGCCACACUGGAACUGAGACACGGUCCAGACUCCUACGGGAGGCAGCAGUGGGGAAUAUUGCACAAUGGGCGCAAGCCUGAUGCAGCCAUGCCGCGUGUAUGAAGAAGGCCUUCGGGUUGUAAAGUACUUUCAGCGGGGAGGAAGGCGUUAAGGUUAAUAACCUUGGCGAUUGACGUUACCCGCAGAAGAAGCACCGGCUAACUCCGCGCCAGCCGCCGCCGUAA